rfam:Salinicoccus halodurans strain H3B36, complete genome.
AUUAAAUAUUUUAUUUCGUUUCAUAUAAUCAUAAUAAUAUGGAUUAUGAGUUUCUAGGCUUUACCUUAAAUAAAGCUACUAUGAAAUUACAAUUGGAUACA